rnacentral:rRNA from 1 species
GACAGAGGCCUCAAGCGUUAGGCGGAAUUACUGGGCGUAAAGCGUGCGUAGGUGGUUUGUUAAGUCUGUUGUGAAAGCCCCGGGCUCAACCUGGGAAUGGCAAUGGAUACUGGCAAGCUAGAGUGCGGUAGAGGGUAGUGGAAUUCCCGGUGUAGCGGUGAAAUGCGUAGAGAUCGGGAGGAACACCCGUGGCGAAGGCGGCUCUCUGGGACGGUACUGACGCUGAGACGCGAAAGCGUGGGGAGCGAACAGGG